CUUUCCCUAUAGCUAUAGCUAUUGUGACACAUUAAUAAAAUUUCAACUGAGAAGCACACCGUCAAGCUUGACUUUGGAUCUCUUCUUGACCGUCUUAAUGGAGCUUUUAGACCAUUCCAAAACCUUAAUGCGCGUUAUUUCCAUAGCUACAUACAUGCAAUAAAAAAUAUGGAAAAUUAACCUACACAUAUAUAUAAUGUGGCUAUUAUAUUAUUUGAUGAAACAUCAUGUUAAAAUGUGAUCAGUCCGUGGUGCAUGAGUUAUAUCUAUGCAGAUUUCUUGAGAGAUUUUUUAGACUAGCAGGAACGUGGGGAGGGAAUUUAAAAAUGAGCAAUGCGCCCCGAAAACAUCACAAGGACGCUUCCUGAAAAUGAUGGAGCUGCACAUUUCAUGACACUUUUGUUUUCUCUUUUCUAAGAGAGACGCAAUUCAUGACUCUACUUAGUCAAAAUAGAAGCUAAAGAGAUCUUCUUUUGCUCUCUUUUCCGUUUGCUUCAAGGGUUGGUCAGGUAUCAAAUUCAAGAGAUGCCCUAUGCAGCACAAGUCUCUCCACGUUGUUGACAAAAAUUGCGAUGACUAACGAAGCAUGCGAUGGGACUUGGUUGUAAAAAGUGAGGGCCAAAUGCAUGAACACAAGAAUCCACAAUCUUUUUGAGGCAGCGAUCUUGCGUGGGGGGAGGG
rnacentral:lncRNA from 1 species